UACGAAGGGGGCUAGCGUUGCUCGGAAUCACUGGGCGUAAAGCGCACGUAGGCGGAUUGUUAAGUCAGGGGUGAAAUCCUGGAGCUCAACUCCAGAACUGCCUUUUGAUACUGGCGAUCUUGAGUCCGGGAGAGGUGAGUGGAACUGCGAGUGUAGAGGUGAAAAUUCGUAGAUAUUCGCAAGAACACCAGUGGCGAAGGCGGCUCACUGGCCCGGUACUGACGCUGAGGUGCGAAAACGUGGGGGACAAACAGGGAUUAAGAUACCUAGUA
rnacentral:rRNA from 1 species